CAUGCNAGUCGAGGGGCAGCAUUUCAGUUUGCUUGCAAACUGGAGAUGGCGACCGGCGCACGGGUGAGUAACACGCUAUCCAACCUGCCGAUAACUCGGGGAUAGCCUUUCGAAAGAAAGAUUAAUACCCGAUGGNAUAAUCAGACCGCAUGGUCUUAUUAUUAAAGAAUUUCGGUUAUCGAUGGGGAUGCGUUCCAUUAGGCAGUUGGUGAGGUAACGGCUCACCAAACCUUCGAUGGAUAGGGGUUCUGAGAGGAAGGUCCCCCACAUUGGAACUGAGACACGGUCCAAACUCCUACGGGAGGCAGCAGUGAGGAAUAUUGGUCAAUGGGCGCAGGCCUGAACCAGCCAAGUAGCGUGAAGGAUGACUGCCCUAUGGGUUGUAAACUUCUUUUAUAUGGGAAUAAAGUUUUCCACGUGUGGAAUUUUGUAUGUACCAUAUGAAUAAGGAUCGGCUAACUCCGUGCCAGCAGCCGCGGUAAUACGGAGGAUCCGAGCGUUAUCCGGAUUUAUUGGGUUUAAAGGGAGCGUAGGUGGACAGUUAAGUCAGUUGUGAAAGUUUGCGGCUCAACCGUAAAAUUGCAGUUGAUACUGGCUGUCUUGAGUACAGUAGAGGUGGGCGGAAUUCGUGGUGUAGCGGNUGAAAAUGCUUAGAAUAUCACGAAGAACUCCGAUUGCGAAGGCAGCUCACUGGACUGCAACUGACACUGAUGCUCGAAAGUGUGGGUAUCAAACAGGAUUAGAUACCCUGGUAGUCCACACAGUAAAACGAUGAAUACUCGCUGUUUGCGAUAUACAGUAAGGCGGCCAAGCCGAAAGCANUUAAGUAUUCCACCUGGGGAGUACCCCGGCAACGGUGAAACUCAAAGGAAUUGACCGGGGCCCGCACAAGCGGAGGAACAUGUGGUUUAAUUCGAUGAUACGCGAGGAACCUUACCCGGGCUUAAAUUGCAUUUGAAUAAUNUGGAAACAGNNUAGCCGCAAGGCAAAUGUGAAGGUGCUGCAUGGUUGUCGUCAGCUCGUGCCGUGAGGUGUCGGCUUAAGUGCCAUAACGAGCGCAACCCUUAUCUUUAGUUACUAACAGGUCAUGCUGAGGACUCUAGAGAGACUGCCGUCGUAAGAUGUGAGGAAGGUGGGGAUGACGUCAAAUCAGCACGGCCCUUACGUCCGGGGCUACACACGUGUUACAAUGGGGGGUACAGAAGGCAGCUACCUGGUGACAGGAUGCUAAUCCCAAAAGCCUCUCUCAGUUCGGAUCGAAGUCUGCAACCCGACUUCGUGAAGCUGGAUUCGCUAGUAAUCGCGCAUCAGCCAUGGCGCGGUGAAUACGUUCCCGGGCCUUGUANACANCGCCCGUCAAGCCAUGAAAGCUCGGGGGUACCUGAAGUACGUAACCGCAAGGAGCUCCUAGGG
rnacentral:rRNA from 1 species